UUGCAGAAGCGGGCGGUUACAGUUUCAAGCGUAUUUAGCGUUUUGACCGACUGGUUACUGGUUAAGCGGUUGUAAACGGGUGCAUUUGCGGGAGAUUUACGACUUGUUGAUCAGCGGCAGAGGCAGGCAUGCAACUCUUUGGAGUAGUCAGAUGAGGCACUUAGACUAUAAAUGGUUGUUUAAAAUUGAAUGGGUUGAAUAUAUUAUAAGUUAAAAAAUAUUGGGUUGAAAAUUAUUCAAUCCAUUCAUCUACAAAAUUGUAGUUGAAUGAGUUGAACAUU